rnacentral:misc_RNA from 1 species
UCGGCAAAUUCUAUGUGUAUACACUGCUGUGUGUCUAUAUUCUUUGUGUAAAGACAUGGCUAUGUUGUAAUGAAUGUGUUGUUAUUGUUGUCUAAAGCA